UAAACUCACAGUAACAGAAAUAGCUCUUGAAAGUUCUGUCAGAUCCCGGCAUUUUUAACUGUUUUUGACGCGUGCUAAAAAAUGCAGCACCUGGUUACAGGGGCUCAUUUGACAAAUUAUCAUCUUUCGUAAUUUAAGUUAUAAAAUCUAAAAUUAAAGUGAUCUAAAAUGUUCAUGACUAACGAGUAUUUUCACUUGUACGCUGUGAAACGAGUCUAAGAGUAUAUACAUGUAUAUCGGGAUACUGACUGCAUAGUAAAAUAUUUAUGUACCUAUUAGUUGCGGCUCAUUUUGGUCUUUUAAGUAAGUGUCCUUCCCCUGCAUUACUUGAUCGCUUUUGUAAAAAAUAAACAGCACAACAACAGCACUCGACAUCAGUAUAAUUUGUACCAAAAAAUGAAGAAAAUAUUCAAAAAGAAGGCUCAUAAAAUUCAAAUAUUGGUGAUCAGACAUCUUGGUUUUCAUGAUCAAUAGGUCUAUACUGAAGAGGACACUGAAAGUUGAUAUCUAUCUACAUGGUGCGCUAAUUGGAUUAAUGUGAAAUGGAAUGUG